UGGGGAAUAUUGCACAAUGGGCGCAAGCCUGAUGCAGCCAUGCCGCGUGUGUGAAGAAGGCCUUCGGGUUGUAAAGCACUUUCAGCGAGGAGGAAGGUGGUGAGCUUAAUACGCUCAUCAAUUGACGUUACUCGCAGAAGAAGCACCGGCUAACUCCGUGCCAGCAGCCGCGGUAAUACGGAGGGUGCAAGCGUUAAUCGGAAUUACUGGGCGUAAAGCGCACGCAGGCGGUUUGUUAAGUCAGAUGUGAAAUCCCCGGGCUCAACCUGGGAACUGCAUUUGAAACUGGCAAGCUAGAGUCUCGUAGAGGGGGGUAGAAUUCCAGGUGUAGCGGUGAAAUGCGUAGAGAUCUGGAGGAAUACCGGUGGCGAAGGCGGCCCCCCGGACGAAGACUGACGCUCAGGUGCGAAAGCGUGGGGCAGCAAACAGGAUUAGAUACCCUGGUAGUCCAGCGCUGUAAACGAUGUCGAUUUGGAGGUUGUGCCCUUGAGGCGUGGCUUCCGGAGCUAACGCGUUAAAUCGACCGCCUGGGGAGUACGGCCGCAAGGUUAAAACUCAAAGGAAUUGACGGGGUCUAGCUG
rnacentral:rRNA from 1 species